GAAGGGGUAGCUCAGUGGUAGAGCACAUGCACGAGGUCCUGGGUUCAAUCCCCAGUACCUCCA
rfam:Camelus ferus unplaced genomic scaffold scaffold2018, whole genome shotgun sequence.